GACGAACGCUGGCGGCGUGCCUAACACAUGCAAGUCAACUUGACUGAAGGAGCAAUCUGACAGUAGAGUGGCGCAAGGGUGCGUAACGCGUAAGUAACUUGCCCAAGGUAAGGAAUAACGUCGAGAAAUCGGCGCUAAUACCUCAUAAUGCAGCGGAUUCGCAUGGAUAUGUUGUUAAAGGUUUACCGCCUUGGGAUAGGCUUGCGUCUGAUUAGCUAGUUGGUGUGGUAACGGCACACCAAGGCUACGAUCAGUAACUGGUCUGAGAGGAUGAUCAGUCACACUGGAACUGAGACACGGUCCAGACUCCUACGGGAGGCAGCAGUGAGGAAAUAUUGGGCAAUGCUCGAAAGAGUGACCCAGCAAACGCCGCGUGGAGGAUGAAGGUAUUCUAUAUCGUAAAACUCCUGUGAGAGCAGACGAAAG
rnacentral:rRNA from 1 species